AUACAUGAGCAAAAUCUCAACUUUAUUAGAAGAGACGCAUUUAUUAGAUAAAAAGCCAAUGCAUGCUUUUACAGUAUGAAAAUUGGUGAUUUAUAAUAACUUAGCAAAUCGCAUAGUGAAAACAGGCGAUAAAUCAUUCAAGUUUCUGACCUAUCAGCUUUCGACGGUAUGGUAUUGGCUUACCGUGGCAGUGACGGUUAACGGGGGAUUAGGGUUCGAUUCCGGAGAGGGAGCCUGAGAAACGGCUACCACAUCUAAGGAAGGCAGCAGGCGCGCAAAUUACCCAAUUCUAACAGUUUGAGAGAGGUAGUAACAAGAAAUAACAAUACAAGGCAGUUAAAAUGCUUUGUAAUUGGAAUGAUAGAAAUUUAAACCCUUUUUAAAGUAUCAAUUGGAGGGCAAGUCUGGUGCCAGCAGCCGCGGUAAUUCCAGCUCCAAUAGCGUAUAUUAAAAUUGUUGCAGUUAAAAAGCUCGUAGUUGAAGUUCUGCUAAAAGUAACCGGUCUGCUUUGAAUAAAAGUGGUAUCUUGGUAUGUAUUUAGCAAUGAUGUCCUUUGAAGUGUUUUUUACUUUAUUGUAAUAAAGCAUAUUCAGGAC
rnacentral:rRNA from 1 species